AUUGAACGCUGGCGGCAGGCCUAACACAUGCAAGUCGAACGAGUGGCGGACGGGUGAGUAAUGUCUGGGAAACUGCCUGAUGGAGGGGGAUAACUACUGGAAACGGUAGCUAAUACCGCAUACCAUCGGAUGUGCCCAGAUGGGAUUCGCUAGUAGGUGGGGUAAAGGCUCACCUAGGCGACGAUCCCUAGCUGGUCUGAGAGGAUGACCAACCAAACUGGAACUGUAACACGGACCAGACUCGUACGGGAGGCAGCAGUGGGGAAGAUUGCACAAUGGGCGCAAGCCUGAUGCAGCCAGGCCGCGUGUAUGAAGAAGGCCUUCGGGUUGUAAAGUACUUUCAGCGGGGAGGCGUUACCGGCAGAAGAAGCACCGGCUAACUCCGUGCCAGCAGCCGCGGUAAUUC
rnacentral:rRNA from 1 species